UACAGAGGUCUCAAGCGUUGUUCGGAUUCAUUGGGCGUAAAGGGUGCGUAGGCGGCGCGGUAAGUCGGGUGUGAAAUCUUGGAGCUUAACUCCGAAACUGCAUUCGAUACUGCCGUGCUUGAGGACUGGAGAGGAGACUGGAAUUUACGGUGUAGCGGUGAAAUGCGUAGAUAUCGUAAGGAAGACCAGUGGCGAAGGCGGGUCUCUGGGCCGAUACUGACGCUGAGAAGCGAAAGCGUGGGGAGCGAACAGG
rnacentral:rRNA from 1 species